UGAGCCGCCUAUUGGCUGUGGAGAUUCCAUAAUGAAGCACAUGAACACCUGUAGGAAUACUGGAAUCCAGGGAAUCCAGGUGAAGAGUUGGAACAAGUUGGUUGGAUAAAUAUAGGUAGGGAGAGGCGACAAGCAAAUUUGGAAAUCCCAGCCAACAUCUUGCAAUGUGGAGGAAGCUUGAAGGAACAUAACACUACAGGUUGCGAGAAAGCGGGAGUAACUGUUCUGCCCUUCUUGGGAAAGAUUCCCACUAAAUGCCUGCUAAGUGCAGAGAGAGGCAGAAUCAGUCCCUACGUUUCUGUUAUCACAGGUAUCUGCUGGUGUGUGUCUCCCUGUGUGAGUAUGCAUUUGUGUUAUCUCCUUAUCUUACAACUGAAUGUCAACUACCUCCUCCGUCCAAAUUAUGAAAAAUAUCACGCAGCGCCCUGACAUAUUUACAGUAAGUUUGAACUGCUUCCUGCAAUAACAUAGAUUAAUGCUAUAUGAAAUCCCCUUUCAUAUAACUACAGAUAUAGAUCCAUACAUCCCUAGAGAUAUUGGAGUGAGCAGUAAUUUAUGUUAUGAUAUGUUACGUUCCUAUCAUCAUACCGUAUCGUAGAUCAUGAUCCAGGCACGAAACCAAACUUCAGGAAAAUUUAUGAUGCAAUAACUAAAAUGAAGGGUGAAAACUUGCUUAUUAAAGUGAAAUCUCUGCUCACUAAAAAUAUAUAUUUCCCUUUCACAUGCAAUCACAAAAGAGAACUAAUCAUUUUGACUGGGAGCUAUGGAUUUUUUGUGUUUAUUUUAUUCUCUUAUUGUUACAUUUAAAAAAAAUUGGACUUGAUAAACGUAAUGGUUUUGCAUUACGUUCCCAAUGUACCUCUAAAUGCUCACUUGAGCUCCCUGUUAUUAAUUUAAGUAGAGAGGGAAGAACUGUGGGAAUGGAGUGAAAAAUAGUAGCAGUUAACUACUAGUAGUUGUAGGCAGCACUGCUGAGCGUGAACCUCCAGGGGUAACCUGUAAUGAUGAUCACAUAUUUGUUGUCCUUGGCCCUCUGGAAGGUGGAAAUAAAGCUUAAAUUGUAGUUUCACUAAAUGGUGACCUGAUUACCUAUUUAAUUCAGGAAAUGCCAUUGUGCUAUUGUAACAGCUGCAAGUGAGAGCAGCAAGAUAACUCAAGUAAAACAAACCACUCUUGAUGCUGUGCACCCGCCUAUUUUUAUCCAAACAACUUCUGGGUUUUGUUUUUGUUAUCUCCUUCUGUUUGGCUGCUUAUUCCCUGGAAAUGAUGCAGAAGGCUCUUUUUGACUGCUGUGAUUAGCUUGUUUGAAAGCUUCCUCUCCUGCUCCCCCCACCCCCCCGCCGUCGCCACCCAGCUCUUACCCCUCCUCGAAAUUCUCCCUGUCAUAAAUUUUGCAUUACUUGGUGCACACAAUAAUGCGACAUAAAAUUAAAUAAACAAUUUAAUUAAUUUAAUUAAAAUUAAAUAUUAAACAUAUUGUGUAUGAGGAUCCCGUGCCUUUGAUUUAAUUGGGCAGGAGUACCCAAAGCAGUUUGGGUAACAGUGAAAAAUAAUUAAAAACAACAAGUAUGGUUGCCUCUGGGCAUGAAGAAUAGUCGGGGAGCUUCCUCCUGAGAAAGGUUUACUUAAUUAAAACUAAACUAAUCUUGCAGAAGAGGAGGGGGGAAACUUGAUAAGCAUUUCAUAAUACAAAUCAUAAUCCCCAAAAAGUGAAGCGCAUGUUCCUUCUACAUGGCACAUGAAGAGAAACUUAAAUCGUUUUUGUUCUGCCACAAGGUGCUCUUUGGCCACACAUGUGAACACUCAACAGACACACUUAGAUGGCCUAGAUAAAUAAGUUUUUGGUUUUUUAAAGGCAUAAAAGGCCCAUCGUCUAUGUACCUCAGCUAAAACGCUCUUUAUUGCUUCUUAUCAUUACAAAUAUAUAAUAACAUGCAGGAAAGCACAGUAAUCGUAGUCCCUUUCCUUCCUUUAAAUCCACAGCUUUUCUGCCAGCUCCAGUCACCUUAUUUAAAAACCAAGCCAUGACUCAUGUUGGCAGGUGGGCCUUUUGGUUACGUUUCCAUAUGCCAAGAAGAAGGUCUGUGCUGAGCUUUCACAGACAUCCCUUAAAACACCUUCCAUUCAUAAUACACCAUAUUCUUUUCCUUCGCAGAAGGAUAGGAGCUGAUUUACACACGGCAUCCUAUCAAUACAUGGUUUUUGCCAAAUACUUGCAGUUAUACAAUCCACAGUGGUGGGGGUGCGGGGGGGGGGAGGCGAGGAAUCCGAACACUAUGAAGAAGUUGGAUAUGUCCCAAGGUAGCACAUUGUACGAGCCAGACAUCAAAUAGACCCGCUUAGAAUUGCCACACAAACCACUGUCCUCCAAUGGGCUUACAAAAACGUUGACAGGUUUUAUAGCCUGAUUCAAAAACAAAUGCCUUCUUCUAACACGUUUGGCUGCGGCAACGGCCGCAAGAAAAUUAUCUUAGCAACCUGGUAUUAAGUGAAUGUAUUGAAAUACGUCCUAAUUAACAUUUUAGGUGGAUGGUCCCGACAUGAGAGAGUCUUUUAAGCUUGUCUUUUAAAGUCACUGUUUUGUCUGGAGGGAGCUUUGUGAAAUAGGAAUAUACAAGUGAAGACCUGUGUCAAUUUAUGAAUGUUUUGGAUGUAUAUACAUUCUCGGUGUCAGGGGUGGGAAACCUCAGGCCCAAAUGCAUUCCUUCAGGCCCUUUUAUUUGACCUUCAGAACACUUCCCAAGCCACACUUCCUCAAUGGCCCUGCUUUCCCUGCUCCAGCUGUCCAAAUGGUUUUAUUUACUUGAAAUCUGUCCUCGACUUCUGAUAAUGCCUCUUGCUUAGUUGGAUGGAGGACAGUGAUGCGUAUUUGGGUGUGUGCAGAAAACUGGAUUACUGUACAAAAAUAAAUUUAACUUAGUUGUUCUGCAUCUGACCCUGCCCACCACUAGAAUGUGGCUCUCAGAAGGUUGCCCAGAAGGGAAGGUGGCCCUCAGAUUGAAAAAGGUGCACCACUACUACUCUAUGGCCUCAUUCAUAGAAUAAACUACUCCCACUAUUAACCACACCAUUAAACCACUAGAAUACCACUUUAAACAGCCAUAGAUUCCUCCAAAGAAUUCGGGAAGUUUCUUAAGGAUGCUAAGUGGUGUUAGGAGACCCCCUAGUCUGCUUCCAGAGCAAUAAUAAUAAUAAUAAUAAUAAUAAUAAUAAUAAUAAUUUAUUAUUUAUACCCCACCCAUCUGGCUGGGUUUCCCCAGCCAUACUGGGCAGCUCCCAACAGAAUUAAAAGCACCAUAAACCAUCAAACAUUAAAAACUUCCCUAAACAAGGCUGCCUUCUAAAAGUCAGAUAGUUGUUUGUUUCCUUGACAUUUGAUGGGAGGCCAUUUCACAGGGCGGGCACCACUACUGAAAAGGCCCUCUGCCUGGAUGCCUGUAACCUCACUUCUCGGGAACCACCAGAAAGCCCUCGGAGCUGGACCUCGGUGCUAAAUGAUGGGGGUGGAGAUGCUCCUUCAGGUAUAGUGGGCCGAGGCCAUUUAGGGCUUUAAAGGUCAGCACCAACACUUUGAAUUGUGCCCGGAAACGUACUGGGAGCCAAUGUAGGUCUUUCAGGACCGGUGUUAUAUGGUCUCAGCGGCCACUCCCAGUCACCAGUCUAGCUGCUGCAUUCUGGAUUAGUUGCAGUUUCUGGGUCACCUGCAAAGGUAGCCCCACGUAGAGCGCAUUGCAGUAGUAUUCUCAGAAUGGCUUGACAAUCUUUCACACAAUCUUUCAAAAGGAACUCUGAGAAUUUCUCAGAGCUCUUGGAGGGGAAUGGGGUCUCCUAACUGUGGGAUAACCAAUCUCCUAUAACCAACAUGCUUCAAUCUGAUUAAUGCACAAAGCGGUUAAUACCAUAAAGUAAGCUGUCCUGCCAGACUUACUGAGGUCACUUCCUGUUACCAUGGGAAGAAAUGGGUAAGCAAACCUAUUGUUAACCUUCCAGUCUACCUGAGAAGUUCAAUUAGGAAGGAGGCUUCAGGUUGUUGGUUGCUGGUUGCUCCAGCUCAGACCGCAUGGCUCUCAUCAGCCACUCUUGAGUUCCUAUACCAGUUAUUUAGGAACUUUCACCAUUUUGUAACUAAAACAAGUUUCCUGCCUGUGCAACUUUUUCUGAAUGCUACAUGGAAAAGCACAUGAAUCUGACCUUUGGAGAGUUUGUAAGUAAAUCAUUUUAAACUUCCCUAACAUGUUGUCUUUUACUAUGCUAGGGGAAGAGGAGAACUUUGGAACUCACUUUAAAGGACAGAUUUUAAAUGUCUAACAGCCUAUAUUUCCAUGCUUUACUUGCUGCAUAUUUUAAAUCUCUGCUGGGGUUCACUCCCCAAAGAAUACUUUCCUCAAACUAGGAUCUUGGUAUUCAGUAAUUCUCCUUUUACACCUAUUUCCCUUCUGCACCAACACCAGCACUCUUAAAAACAUUACAGCCCCCAGGAUUAUUGAGGAGAGGGGAGCCAUGACUGUUCAAAGGGGAAUCUUAGUACUUUAAACAUAUGAUGUGAAUGUGAUCUAUAGCAAUUCUCCCUUUAUCUUUCCUUAGAGUCCCGCUACCACAUUCACACAUAAACACACUAUAGGCACUCACAAUCGAACAACUGACCUCAACAGGGUGCUCUAGUCUCUUUCCUGCCAUGCUCCUUCCCACCAGCAACACAAAGCCUAUCCAUUCCUGGGACUUGAGCUCUGACAUAUAAUUAGCAUUCUAUUGCACCUCAGCAGCUGAGCCAGUGGACUUAUCUUAAUGAAUGGCUGCAGAAGCUCUAAUAGCCAGUAGUCUUUGAGAUCUGAAGGACUGUUCUGCAAGUUGUUGGGGUGUUUCGUUUUUGUGUUGCUUACUUUCUGUUUUCAAUUACCAUAUUUACUCAAAUCAAAUGCUCACCUUUUUUUGGCCAAAUUACGUUGUGAAAAUUAAGGUGCGCACUGGCACAGUACAAUAAAUAUAACAAAAGCACCACAGCACCUCCUAACAGCACUCCCUAAGCCAUUUCCAGCAAGUUUAAGGUUCACAGUGGGGCAAGAACCACUAUAUAUUGGCAGGUAUGCACUCUGUGCCCUGCAUGUUUACUCAGAACUGUGGUGGACUUUGGGCUUCCAAACUUCAGCAGCACCCUGUAUAACACCAACAUUUAGCACCAGCCCCUGCCUCUCACCUUGCAUUCUAAGUCAUGGUUGCAGUGCCCUCUUGGCUCAGUGCCCAGUGCGGGAAAUUCAGUCACACUCCCCCAAAUCCACCACUGCUCAGAAGUCCAGCUGAGCUCAGGUAAGUAGUGAUGUGCACAUGAGUCUGCCGUGUUAAUUUUACAUGCAGUUUAUCUCUCAGCAGCCAUGAUAAGCGCUCUAAAUUAACCAGUGCUGGCUUUGCCUUUCCAGAUUGUCAAGCAGGCAAUUCUUGUGUCUUAUCAAACUAUCUCCACGUGUCUCUGUGAACAGCGCCUUUUUGUCCCACAGUAAAACCAAAACACAUGCACGGAGGGUUCGCUUCCAAAAUGAAAGCACUGGAAUAAGCAAAGGAAGCAGCAUAAAAUGCGUUGCAGGCCAUGGAAGCAUUAAAGAGAAGUGAGGCAACGUGCAGUGCAGACAGGCUCUGCCACCCUUUGCACUCUUUGCAACAUUAACCCAUAUGCAUUUUAUAGUCAUUAGCAACUGUACUAACGAGAAGUUCUGUAAGGGAGGGGCGCUCUUACACUGCUGUGCAGGCCUGAAGCUUCUACUUUGGCCAUUCUUAUGGCUGAAAGGGUGACAUUCGCAUCUCCUACCUUUAAUUCCUUGCGACUUUGAGAGAGCCAUACGAUUUUAAGCUCCCUAAAGAAACUUUGUUUGACGCCCUCCUCAAAUAAGCAAAAAAAGGUUCUGACUUAAAAGCUUCUUGGCCUUGACCAUAUUCCCUGCCAAUGAGUUGUGUCAGGUUUCAGAAAUGAAAUGUUAAUCCAGACAAGGCAGAGGAGCUAAGACCAUAGCUCAAUGAAAAAGCACAUGGAUUGCAUGCAAAAGGUCCCAAUUUAAACACCGCCCCCUCCGCCUCGCUUCUCCGGGUAUGACUAAGAAUUGGAAAGAAAUCUGUCUGAAACCUUAGAGAGCAGCUUCCUGUGUUGAGCUAGAUGGGCUUAUAGUAUCAGGCAGUGGCAUGUGGUGAAUUUUUUCGUAGGGCAACAGUUAGGGCCAGAGGUGCCAGUUUACAAGAGCAAUAGGGGGAGGGGGCGAUGUCGCGCGUGUGAUCUAGUGACAUCCCAACAUCACUGGGCUGAAGUUUCCCAGGCUGAAGCUUCCCAGUAUCUGACAGGAUACUGGAGCCCUGCAGCCUCCUUCCCCAAGCUGGGCAGGCUUUGGGAAGAUGGCGGGAGGGCUCUUGGACCCCGUCAGAGCAUUGCACCACCUUCUAAUUUGCAGUUAGGCAACUAGCAUAGCUUUCCCCCCGGCCCACAGACCACACAUCUCUGAUAUCAGGUCCCAUCAGCCUAUUUUAGAUGAGGUUGCGCUCCACAUGAAGUAACAGGUUGGCAACUCGGGGGUGCUGGAGAAAUCAGGCAUUAACCGUGCUCAUUCCCUAGUCUAGAUAGGAUUCCUGCAACAACACAGAGAUGUGCAACUGCUGUUCAUACCAUCUUUCAUGACUUAAAGAAUCUCGGUUAUUAACAAGAGUCUUCAGAUUGCCCAAGGUGUACUAAGGCACUGUGCCUAGUAGUAUUCUGUUCCAUUAUAAAAUAAUAUUAUGUCUGGGUAGGCUUCCCUGAAUACAAAAGUUCUUAGUAGAAAUGUUUUUAAACACACACAGAGUGGGGGGAGGGAUGCAUACACACACCAGUGGUGAACUAUGCCAGGAAGAAGAAAAAUGUGAUUGUCAGAAAGAUUUCCAAAGUACAAAACAGAUGUUAAACUCAGCAAGCAGAACAAAAGAAAAAUACUAGUAAUGUUAGUAAUGCUACACCCACAAAACGUCACAAAUCUGUUGCACGCCUACGAAGCUAUCACAAACUUCCUGAUCCAGCAUGCACAAUAAACACAAGAGCAUGAUUCUGAUCCUUUAGAACAGGGGUAAGAUGUUCUUAGAUGACAGCUUCAAUCAUCCCUGAUGAAUGACCCUGCUGGCUGGGACUGAUGAGAUUCUGGAUUCCCACAGCAUUUGGAGGGCCACAAGUUUUCAGAGUUGGUGGGGGAAAUGUCACAGAAUUUAGUAAAAACAAGAUCAGAAGAUGGUUGUUGUUGUUGUUAGCACAACAACUCUUCAGCCAGACCAAAAGCAGUGCAAAUGCCAAGGUACGUCCAGAAAGACAUAUUUAGAAGUUUGGUUUGUGACACAUGGUGAAGAGCUCAAAGCAAUUCUUCAAUCUAAACACCGUGGGCUGGAUCUGAUGAUCUGUUGCAGAGUCAUAUCUUCAUAAUAGCCAAAAGUGAAGCUAAAAUUUGAGUGAGGCGUGCCACCCCCAAUUAGUGAUUCAACUCAUUGAUGCUAAUAAGAUAACUCUCCCGAGUAAGUGAUGCCAGGUCUGGACAGGCCCUUUUAGAGUUGUCAUUCAAAGAUUCACAUGAUUGCAGUUGCUUGAGCGUGAAGAACAAAGGUUUCUAGUUACAGAACCAACGCCAUAUACCCCUUUGAUUUUGCAGAAAUAUUUGCUGCAAACCCAACAUUCAAAUUCUUCUAGCAUUGGCUGGCAUCAUUCGAAGAUGCCUAUCGUGUAACAGUAGUAACGUAAAACAAAUGUCUAGAUAUUAGAUAGGUCUGUUUGGGAUAAGCAUUCACUAGGUUUCCAGGUUGCUGGGGGUUUUAUAAUUACAGUUUAUUGCAGGACACCAACACACAGAUAGCAAUAAAUGUGUUGCCUGAAGAUGAUGUUCUUUGAUACAUUGAAGGGUUCAUAAUCCUUUGUAAUAUAUUCUAUCUUGAAUCCUUGCUUUCUGUGUAUAAAAUAUUUCCAGAAAAUUCUGGGUGUGCUCCAACCGAAGCAAGGCACUUUUGAGUUUCGCUGUUUUGAAUGGGAAGGAUGUAGACAUAUGCUCUGCUCCAAGGGAUUAUUAUUCAUAUUAUUUUAUUUGUUAAAUUUCUAUACCACCCUUCAUCCGAGGAUCACAGUGGAACUUCACAGUGGAGCUUAAUUAUGGCUGCAUCACGCCACCUAUAAGCUGUAGAAAAUGAACUUCCAGCAUUACUAAUGACCCUGCUUGCUACAGAUUUUCUGUGUAUCAUUUGAGGCAAAUCGUGGUCCCCCACAACAGGCUUAGUUGGGGAUAGCAAGCAGCGCUGGAUGGAGCCCCAGUGGGCCUGGGAGCUGCCAUUUUAGUUUCCUACAAUCCCCAUACAUUGCAUUAUUCUAGAGCAUUGAAUGAAAUUAAAAGGUUGGCUCCCAGACCCCCCAAGGACAUUCCCCAUGAUAUCUCCAAGGAACACUGCAUUGGGGAACAUUGGGGAAAAUUAAACAGCAGCCUCCUAGGGCAGGAUUCAGUGACGGACACUGUAGCCCUCAAAAGAUUAUGUGUAAGGACACUGGACCUCUUUGUGAUCAUGGCUAAACAUAAGUGAAUUUCAGAUAUUCAAGACGGCUUUGUAUUAGAGCUUGGACCUGUUGCUUCAGUGGUGAAGUAACUCAAGAGUGAGAGUUUAUAUAGGAGCUGGCUGUUAGGCAGAUCCUGAUUCUGGCAGGUGCUUGCAUGCAUUUCCCCUUCCUCCUAAGUAGCCUCAUAGGCAGUUGACCAGCCACUUUGCCAGCAACUCUGAGGCUCUUGCAUGGCUCAUCAUCUCUGUUGCUCCCGUGGUCCUGAGAGUUUUGUCCUAUUAAGGACUGGUGGCUGUAUGUUUCUCUACCUACAAGUUUAAAUGUCAUGACUUCCUGCAAAAAAUCUUCUUCUUAUUUCAGCAAGGGUAUUGAGAAUUCUUACAGCACAGCAUGAACAUAAUAAAAACUAAACUAAAAACAGCAACUGCAGAAGCCAACACUGCAACAAAUAGACUCUCACAUCUCUAGAUCCUAAAAGUAGCAAGCAAAUGGUAUAAACAACAAGGCAAUAUGAAAGCUUGUGCAAAUAAGAAUAUUUUCACUUCAUAUGUCAAACUUAUGACCACAAGGGCCAGGCAUGCGGAUCUAGAGAGGACAUACAACAGGUGAUGUACCACCCAUAGAAAAAGCCAGUUCUCCAGUCCCCACCAGCCUGACCCAGAGAUGGACCUUCCCAGAUGACUUCAAAGCAUGGGCAUCAUACAAGAGUAAGUGGUCCUUGAUUUCAAUCCUGAUUUCAAAUCAUAUAAGGCUUAUCCACAUGUUACACUUAAAACAGGUAGAAGUUGUCUCUACACAAGUACUAGUGUGGAAGGGUUACAGCUUAGUGCUAGAGCAUCUGCUUUGCAUGGUUCCAGGUUCCAGGUUCAAUCCCUGGCAUCUUCAGGUAGGGCUUGGAGAUAGCCCUGCCUGCAAUCCUAGAGAGCCACUUCCAGUUAGUGUAGACAGUACUGGGCUAGACAAACCAAUGGUCUGACUCAGUAGAAGGCAGCUCCUUAUGUUCUUAGGUGUUUGUGAGAAACAGUGUAUAUUUGUUGAUCUGUGCAGCUCAGUGAUUCAUGUACACAGACUGUACAUUUGUCAAACUUAACAUGUGAACGCCCCUAUAGUGUUGUUGUUGUUUCGGUUAAUACCAACAUUUUUAAUUGUGCCAAUAAAUACUUGGGAAGCCAGCAAAGCUGUUUCAAAACUAGCAAGAUGUGUUCUGCAUUUUGAACUAAUUGCAGUUGCCAAGAGAUCCUCAAAUACAGUCCCACUGGCAGCAUUCCUAGUGAAGGCUGGGUGUUACUGGAGCAUGGAUAACCAUGACAAAGCUACCUUCUGUCCAGGUGGGGUUGCUCUGCACCACCUAGGCUGGUGAAAGUGCUUUGUGUCACUAAUGCUGUUUGAGCAUCCAAAGCACUCCCAGUCUGUCUAUCUGAUCUUUAAGAGCAAUGCUAUCCAGAAAAUAUCGAAAAUCCCACAUGUAAGGGCAUCUUGACGGAAAACUUUUUUUAACGGAGAACCAGCGUGUGUUUGUGUUUUAAAGAUGCAGUCUAUACUCACCUGCCUACAGACACUACUGCUUUCAAGGAAACAUAAGCCGGUCAAACAGACCAUCUACUAACAGCAGCCUCAUCUUGUCUUGAUGUUGAGCCAGCUGUCAUCCAUAUGCUGAUGACAUUUUACACCACUCAGAGGGUGGAGUAAUGACAUUAUCUCACUCAAAGGGUUCAUGGAGAUUGAGGACAGAAUGGAGGACAGGAUAGAUCUCUAGAAAACAUCAUAGCACAGAUUCCAUGGUGCAGAGGGCAGGACUAAAAAGACAUGGGCAUAUUCUUAUAGGUACACGGUUGCUUGAUUGUUUAUUCCUAUUGCUUAAGAGGAAAUCAAGAGGGUUCGAGAUUAUGGAGACAUGGAAUCUUGAGACUAACAGUAUAAUAUAGCUAAAAGCAGGUGGGAACUUGCUGCAGAAGCAAAGCAAAGCUCCUAGUGCAUGCUUGGGCAAGAGUUUUAAAUAAAGCCUUGAUGAACACAAGGAUUUGGGUAAUGGCAGCAUGGCAACUGUCUUGAAGAUGAAUCUAGGGGUGGGACAUGGUGUACUGCAUUAGGAGCCUUUUGCUCAUGAGGAUAGAACAGCAAGACAAGGAACUGGGUUAUCACUGAGGAGCAGACAAAGAUCUGGGGAGUCAACUAGAAAGGACACCACAAGUUGGGUGGAGAUAGGGAAAGGGGCUAAAAGGCUGUGGUCAGAUCGAUAUAAGUAGCAGAGAUAUGGGUAAGUUCUGGAAUGGAGGAACUAAAUGAGUAAGUAUGAAGCAAGAAGGACCUGGUGUUAGACACAUGAGAACCUAUGCAUGUGUUGCUCAUUUUCUGUUAUUUCUUACUUACUCUUCAUUUUGUUAUAGUUAAAUUACAUUACAAUAAAUAUUUAAGAACAUUUGAAAUUGUCUGAUCUAUCACUGUUUGGUUCCAGAGGUGAGGAGACCCCAGUGAAUUCCAGGUUUGCAUCUUCAAGCAGAGUUAUAGGAGCCUUACUGGCAAGUGUUAAGUGUCACAUCAUAAAACUUCUCAUAAAAUGAAAUUCCACAGCUCCAGCUUCUGGAACUGCCUGUCAAAUAGGAGUGGAAACAUCUGGGUAUGGUACCACUUAGUCCCUACCUGACUAACUGAUCCAGAAGGAUGCUUGAUGGUGUCAAGGGCUGCUGAGACGUCUAAAACAAUCAGCAUGGCCACAUUCUGCCCCCACCCCUAUCCUCCUUCUAGCAUAGGUCAGGAUAACCCUGAGGACAACCAAGGCAGUUUUAGUGGCGUGCCUGGAGAUGAAGGACCACCAACCCACUCAAGAGAAAGAGAUAUUAGCAACUGGUUGGGUAGCUUAUCCUCCAGUUCCAGGCUCAGCUUCUUCAGGAGUGGCUUCAUGAUCACCUCCUACAAGGCAGACAGGCCCUCUCUCUGUCUCUCUCUCCAAAUGAAGCAUUUACAGUCUCUUGGAACCAACCAGUCAUCACACUCCUAUCAGAUGUUCUAAGCCGUUGCAGGCAAGGAUUGGGUAAAACACUGCCAAGUCAUACUCCUCAGAGCACCCUGUCCACAUCCUCGGGUCACAAUAACUGAAAUUCAUCCAUGUGAAAAUGACUCUGCAACUACCUAGGUGCCAUGAUAGAUAUGAGUGGUUUUGUUCUCAAAGUAAUUUAUUUAUUUUAAAUAUUUAUACACCACACACUCCACUAGAAAAUUUAACAGGGUGGUAUACAGCACAAAAACACAAUAUUACCAUAACAUCAGUAUAAAAAAUAUCAAAAAUCUAUUUUUAAAAACUGGGAUCUUUUUUAAAAAUGCAAUUUAAAACAACAACUCUUUCUGAAUUCCUAUUGGCAAGAAGUUCCACAGGGCAGAUCCUGAUGCACUAAAGGCUCAGUCCCUAAUAAAGGCUGGCUGUAUCUCAGGAGCAAAAGCGUCCCAUUGGAAGAUCUUGGGGGUGGAGGUGGAGCAAAGGGAAUCAGAUCGUUCUUAAGAUGUUUUGGACUCAGUUUGUUUAGGGCCCUUGUGAAUUUAUACAAGAACCCUGAAUGGGACAGCAGAUUAGCAACCUUUAAAAAUGGGUCAAAGACAUUCCCUAGUUCCCAGGUAGGCAGCAUAAUGACCCCCAGUUGUUGGACUACUCACAAUCACCUCUGACCAGUGGCCAUGUUGGCAGGGGCUGGUGGGAAUUGUUGUGCAACAAUAUCUGGAGGGCACAACAGUGACUGCUCCUUCCCUGCCCUUUGGUUAUAGAGCUAUAUUACUCAGAGUUCCCUGGUAAGAGAGAAUGACUGUUCAACCAACUGGUAGAGUAGGUAUGCCCAAGUAUCCAGUGAUAUGCAUGAUGCUUUAAGUCUACAAAAAUAUGUAGAUGUGUUGUUUUUGUGGCAAUGCAAGAGAGUAGCUGUGAUUUCAGCUUUGGUGGGAACAUGAGUAGAGCAAAGAGGACUAAUAUCAAUGGGACUGUACAAAAGACCUAACUCCAUUUGGGACCUUGUCUUGGAUGUCUUUCCUCAGCCAAUACUAGUCUUGUUUAGAUGCUUGGUUUAGCUUGAACCAGAGUGUCUAUAGAUCUCUGGCUAUUUCCUUUCCCCAGCCCCCCACAAUAGUAGCCCCAGGGCAAUUUUACAUACUAAAAAGGUAAAGGUACCCCUGCCCGUACGGGCCAGUCGUGUCCGACUCUAGGGUUGUGCGCCCAUCUCACUUAAGAGGCCGGGGGCCAGCGCUGUCCGGAGACACUUCCGGGUCACGUGGCCAGCAUGAUGAAGCUGCUCUGGCGAGCCAGCACCAGCGCAGCACACGGAAACGCCGUUUACCUUCCCGCUAUAAAGCGGUACCUAUUUAUCUACUUGCACUUAGGAGUGCUUUCGAACUGCUAGGUGGGCAGGAGCUGAGACCGAAAGACGGGAGCUCACCCCGCCGACCAUGCGAUCGGCAAGUCCUAGGCACUGAGGUUUUACCCACAGCGCCACCCGCGUCCCAUAAUUUUACAUACUAGGUAACUACAAAUCUGGAGGUCCACCACAUGUCUACUCAUAAGAGAGAGAAACUUAGUCAAUCACAGCUUUUUUAAAAGACUUUGUCACCCUCUCUAUCCCUGUGUUCAGAUGUACACCGAAAAAGUAUUGGACUACACCUACCAAAAAUGUAAUGCAUGAAGAUGCCUUGGCAUGUUGGAGAUGAUGUUGGGCAGGAUUUUGGAAAUGACUUUGGUCCUCAGCAAGAAGAGGUUGGAGAGGAAGAAGAAGAAAAAGCCCACCUCGUUUCCCAGUGUCUGGUUGCACCAAAGCCGCAUUAUUUGGGAAGUGAUAAAAGGGUGAGGAAUGGUGGUGUCUUUAAGCAGUUAAACAUUGCCAAUAAAGAUCUUGCAAGCU